rnacentral:misc_RNA from 1 species
GAUGAAGAACGCAGCGAAAUGCGAUAAGUAAUGUGAAUUGCAGAAUUCAGUGAAUCAUCGAAUCUUUGAACGCAUCUUGCGCUCCUUGGUAUUCCUUGGAGCAUGCCUGUUUGAGUAUCAUGAGCAAAUCUCAAAGUCAAUUCCUUUUGUUAAUUCAAUUGGUUUUGCUUUGGACUUGGAGGUCUUGCAGAUUUUCACAGUCUGCUCCUCUUAAAUGCAUUAGCUGGAUCUCAGUAAUUAUGCUUGGUUCCACUCGGCGUGAUAAGUAUCACUCGCUGAGGACACUGUUAAAAAGGUGGCCAGGAAAAUACUGAUUGAACCGCUUCUAACGGUCUAUUAAGUUAGACAAUUACCCUUAAGUUUGAUCUCAAAGCAGGUAGGACUACCCGCUGAACUUAAGCAUAUCAAUAAGCGGAGGA